UAGAGGGACUCUUGUUUUUGCUGCCUUUAGGUCUUCCCCUGGGUCUCUUAGGAGAGGGCUCACCGGUUGGUUCCUAAUUGUGAGGGGAAAAAAAAAAUGCUGUUGUGGCAAGAAUGUCUGAAAGAAAUUGACCCCGACUCUUUAGCUAUAUUUUCUGCAUGUGCUGCUCAAAAGAGCUGUUGGAACACUUUCAGUUCAAGCAUAAAUGGAUGAUGAUGGUACAGAGUUUACAGAAAGGGGAAAUAACUAUACUUUUAAUCCAAGGGUUCAAAGAGGAAACCUUAUUUUGUAUAUGAAAACUAGAUUCUACUUCAAACCUAAAAUGGUAACAAAGACUGAAGAGGCAUGUUCUAGAAAGAAAGUCAUAUACUUUUAAGGCGUAAAGUUUACAGGGCUAUGCAUUUGGCGACCCAUAGGAAUAAUAAGCAUUUUAAACGAACACCACUCUCCAUUAUACUAGCAUUUCAAACAAUAGAAAUAUGAAGCUAACAUCAUAGAUAUUUCAACAAUCUUCCAUACUGAAAAGGUGGCUUUUAAUAAUCUUUGUAUACCUGCCUUCUAGGUGGAUUAUGAUUCAACUGACACAUUCUGAGUGAAAUACUGGAGGAAUUAUUCAAGUUCUUCAGUUCAAAAUAACUCCAUUCCCCAUAAAAUUUCCAAAUAAUUAUAGUAAAUCUAUUGUGGGAGGUUUUGCUUGAAUUAUCUAGUUAAUUGCUUCAAUUCUCCACUUCCUUUUGGAGAUGCAGGCAUGGUCUCCAGUCUACAUUUAAAUAUCUUUUGAUAAAAAUAAACAUAUUUUCUUCAAAACUUUCUUUUAAGAAAACUCUUAUGGGGAUGGAGUGGAGAAAACUAAAAGGGGGUAAAAGCGAGGAGGAAUGGAGUGUCUGGGAAUGAGAAAUGGAAGCAAUCACUAGGUUUAGCAAAACUUUAAAUGGCUCCUAUGCCAAGUAGUAAAUACUCAAGUGGUUAAGAGAAUGCGAUGAUUAAUAUUCCAGAUCCCAAAUAUUUAUCCAGUGAAUCAUCUAUUCACAUUUCAUUCAGAUUCGGUGAUUAAGUGAGACUAAUUAACUUAAAACCCAUGAACGUCCUCAAUGAAAAUUCGCAUCCCAUUUAGAGAAUUCGGGGAAGGUUCCCUGCAAGCUUCUGUGGGACCACUAGCGCCAGUGGGCACAUCGAGAGCAAACACAUCGGAGACACAUUUUUCUUUCUUUGUGAACUCUGCCUUAACUCAAAGGUUCCUGUCAUAAUUUAAAGAGAAACUUUCACAAUGUCUGGAGCCCUUGAUAUCCUGCAAAUGAAGGAGGAGGAUGUCCUUAAUUUCCUUGCAGUAGGAACCCACUUAGGUGGCACCAACUUUGACUUCCAAAUGGAACAGUACAUCUAUAAAAGGAAAAGAGAUGGCAUCUACAGCAUAAAUCUGAAGAGGACUUGGGAGAAGCUUCGGCUGGCAACUCAUGCCAUUGUUGUUAUUGAAAACCCUGCUGAUGUCAGUAUCAUAUCCCCCAGGAAUACUGGCCAGAAAGCCAUGCUGUAGUUUGCUGCUGCCACUGGAACCACUCCAAUUGCUGACUGCUUCACUCCUUGAACCUUCCUAACCAGAUACAGGCAGACUACUGGGAGCCACAGCUUCUUGUGAUUUCUGACCCCAGGACUGACCACCAGUCUCUCAGAGGGGCAUCUUGUGUUAACCCACCUGCCAUUGCUUUGUGCAACACAGAUUCUCCUCUACGCCAUGUGGACAUUGCCAUCACAUGCAACAACAAGGGAGCUCCCUCAGUGGGUCAGAUGUGGUGGAUGCUGGCCUGGGAAGUUCUCCCCAUGGGCGGCACCAUUUCCUGCAACACCCAUGGGAGGUCAUGUCUAAUCUCUACUUCUACAGAGAUCCUGAAGAGAUUGAAAAAGAAGAGCAGGCUGCUGCUGAAAAGGCUGUGACCAAGAAGGAAUUUCAGGGUAAAUGGACUGUUCCAGCUCCUGAGUUUACUGCUAUUCAGUCUGAAGUUGCAGACUGGUCUGAAGACAUGCAGGUACCCUCUGUGCCUAUUCAGCAGUUCUUACUGAAGACUGGAGCACUCAGCCUGCCACGGAAGACUGGUCCACAGCUCCCACUGCUCAGGCCACUGAAUGGGUAGAAGCAACCACUGAAUGGUCUUAAGCUGUUCUUGCACAGACUCUUAAGCAACAUGAAAAUAAGGUUGACAGAAAAUAAACAUCAGUUUCUAAAAAAUAAAGAAUAAAAUUCUGUGAUGCAAA